AGCGAACGCUGGCGGUAGGCCUAACACAUGCAAGUCGAACGGCAGCACAGUAAGAGCUUGCUCUUACGGGUGGGGAGUGGCGGACGGGUGAGGAAUACAUCGGAAUCUACUUUUUCGUGGGGGAUAACGUAGGGAAACUUACGCUAAUACCGCAUCCGACCUACGGGUGAAAGCAGGGGAUAUUCGGACCUUGCGCGAUUGAAUGAGCCGAUGUCGGAUUAGUUAGUUGGCGGGGUAAAGGCCCACCAGGGCGACGAUCCGUAGCUGGUCUGUGAGGAGGAUAGCCGACACGAGAAGGGGGACACGGACAAUGGGCCUGCGAGAGGGAGCAGUCGGGAAUGGUGGGCAGUAGUGGCAAACCUUAUCCAACCAUACCGCGUCGGUGGAAAAGACCUUCGGGGUGUAAAGCCGGUUUGUGGGGAGAAAAAAGCAGCAGGUUGAUACCCCGCGUUUCUGACGGUACCCGAAAAAGAAGCACCGGCUAACUUCGUG
rnacentral:rRNA from 1 species